GACCUCUCCAUCUUGUAUUAACUUACAUUGUCAGAUAAUACUGCUCCAUUUCACUUUCAUCCAGAUUAAGAUGACCGGCAAAGUGAGGUAGUUUCCAAUUCAUCGCAGCCCAUUGGGUCCCAGGAUGAUAAUGCCUGGCUCUGGACUUAACCCUAUGUCUGUGAUGCAACUGGGUUUCCCAGUCUUUCAAGCUGUUGUAGUUGCUAUCCUUAUUAAUGCUCAGAAUGUCCUAUCUUCAGCCAGUGGAACCCUCUUCAAAGAUCCUGAGUCUUUUUGACACAGUUUGUCUUUGAUAGCCUCCUGGUAUGGUAAGGUAUUUCAGGUUCGUUUUGUAAUUUGCCAUAUCUGUAA